GAUGAAGAACGUAGCGAAAUGCGAUAAGUAAUGUGAAUUACAGAAUUCAGUGAAUCAUCGAAUCUUUGAACGCUCAUUGCGCCCGCCAGUAUUCUGGCGGGCAUGCCUGUCCGAGCGUCAUUUCAACCAUCAAGCCCCGGGCUUGUGUUGGGGACCUGCGUCCGACGCAGGCCCUGAAAACCAGUGGCGGGCUCGCUGUCCACACCGAGCGUAGUAACUAACCUCGCUAUGGAGUGGCGCGGGCGCCUGCCGUAAAACCCCCAAUUUCACAAGGUUGACCUCGGAUCAGGUAGGAAUACCCGCUGAACUUAAGCAUAUCAAUAAGCGGAGGA
rnacentral:misc_RNA from 1 species